rnacentral:rRNA from 1 species
CGGAGGGUGCAAGCGUUAUCCGGAUUCACUGGGUUUAAAGGGUGCGUAGGCGGGUUGGUAAGUCAGUGGUGAAAUCCCCGAGCUUAACUUGGGAACUGCCAUUGAUACUAUUAAUCUUGGAUACCGUGGAGGUCGACGGAAUAUGUCAUGUAGCGGUGAAAUGCUUAGAUAUGACAUAGAACACCAAUUGCGAAGGCAGUUGACUACGCGAGUAUUGACGCUGAGGCACGAAGGCGUGGGGAUCAAACAGGAUUAGAUACCCUGGUAGUCCACGCCCUAAACUAUGGAUACUCGACAUACGCGAUACACUGUGUGUGUCUGAGCGAAAGCAUUAAGUAUCCCACCUGGGAAGUACGAUCGCAAGAUUG